UACAGAGGUCCCAAGCGUUGUUCGGAUUCACUGGGCGUAAAGGGUGCGUAGGCGGUUUGACAAGUCUGAUGUGAAAUCCCGCAGCUUAACUGCGGAACUGCAUUGGAAACUGUUUGACUAGAGGAAUGGAGGGGAGACUGGAAUGCUUGGUGUAGCAGUGAAAUGCGUAGAUAUCAAGCGGAACACCAGUGGCGAAGGCGAGUCUCUGGACAUUUCCUGACGCUGAGGCACGAAAGCUAGGGGAGCAAACAGG
rnacentral:rRNA from 1 species